GGUUUCCACAUCAACAAAAGCAAAGCUGCUCAGGAGGAACCACUGCUGUUCUCUGUAACCACAGCACCGUCUCCGUAAAGUACUGGUGCUCAAUCUCCAUGAACAGUUUUGUCAGUGGACUUGAAAGAGACUGCAAAGUAAGAGAAAGCAGCAGAGCUGGGAACAGCAAACAGACGCCCUGAGUCAGCCCCAGGAACUCCAGACAGACACACCAAUAUCAGCACACUGAAACAGUUCAGUCCUUGAGAGUUCCUCCAGCUUCCUCUGGCGUUCCUGCUGCCUGAGAUGUUCUGCUGUGUUGGGAGACCCCCUCCAUCCUCUCCCUGGUGAGGAAGAGGACGCAACUGUGCCCUGGAAGACCAG